rnacentral:rRNA from 1 species
UACAGAGGGUGCAAGCGUUAAUCGGAAUUACUGGGCGUAAAGCGCGCGUAGGCGGCUUUGUAAGUUAGAGGUGAAAGCCCGGGGCUCAACCCCGGAACUGCCUUUAAAACUGCAUCGCUUGAAUCCGGGAGAGGUGAGUGGAAUUCCGAGUGUAGAGGUGAAAUUCGUAGAUAUUCGGAAGAACACCAGUGGCGAAGGCGGCUCACUGGACCGGCAUUGACGCUGAGGUGCGAAAGCGUGGGGAGCAAACAGG